CUGUGUAGUGGAUGUAUUUAUUAGAUAUCAAACUAAUCGCAGCAAUGUGAUUAAGAUGAAUCAAAGUAACUGAUCGAAUCGCAGGACUCUGCGAUAAAUCAUCUAAGUUUCUGCCCUAUCAGCUCACGAUGGUAGUGUAUUGGACUACCAUGGCGCUCACGGGUAACGGAGAAUUAGGGUUCGAUUCCGGAGAAGGAGCCUGAGAAACGGCUACUACACCUACGGGUAGGCAGCAGGGGCGUAAAUUACCCAAUCCUAAUUCAGGGAGGUAGUGACAAGAAAUAUCAAGUCGGGAAGAUUUUCUUCUACGGCAUUGAAAUGAGAACAGUGUAAAUCUCUUAGCGAGGAACAAUUGGAGGGCAAGUUCAGGUGCCAGCAGCCGCGGUAAUUCCUGCUCCAAUAGCGUAUAUUAAAGUUGUUGCAGUUAAAAAGCUCGUAGUUGAAUUUCUGCUCGCCUAUGACUACUUCGGUGGUCUAUAGACGGGCAUACGUCUGCAAACUAAGACCGGCCUUUACUGGUGCGACUUAGGGAGUAGACAUUUUACUGUGAAAAAAUUAGAGUGUUCAAAGCAGGUUUUGCUCGAAUACAUUAGCAUGGAAUAAUGGAAUAGGACUGAGUCCAUUUUAUUGGUUAUUGGAUUUAGUAAUGAUUAAUAGGGACAGUUGGGGGCAUUAGUAUUUAAUAGUCAGAGGUGAAAUUCUUGGAUUUAUUAAGGACUAACUAAUGCGAAAGCAUUUGCCAAAGAUGUUUUCAUUAAUCAAGAACGAAAGUUAGGGGAUCAAAGACGAUCAGAUACCGUCGUAGUCCUAACUAUAAACUAUACCGACUCGGGAUCGGAUGGAAUAGAAAUGUCCAUUCGGCACCGUAUGAGAAAUCAAAGUCUUUGGGUUCUGGGGGGAGUAUAUGUCGCAAGGCCGAAACUUA
rnacentral:rRNA from 2 species